UCAAAGUCAUUCAGAUUCUUUUUGGAGCCC
rnacentral:piRNA from 1 species